rnacentral:rRNA from 1 species
CACGAACGCUGGCGGCAGGCUUAACACAUGCAAGUCGAGCGCCCCGCAAGGGGAGCGGCAGACGGGUGAGUAACGCGUGGGAAUCUACCCAUCUCUACGGAAUAACGCAUGGAAACGUGUGCUAAUACCGUAUACGUCCUUCGGGAGAAAGAUUUAUCGGAGAUGGAUGAGCCCGCGAUGGAUUAGCUAGUUGGUGGGGUAAAGGCCUACCAAGGCGACGAUCCAUAGCUGGUCUGAGAGGAUGAUCAGCCACACUGGGACUGAGCACACGGCCCAGACUCCUACGGGAGGCAGCAGUGGGGAAUAUUGGACAAUGGGCGCAAGCCUGAUCCAGCCAUGCCGCGUGAGUGAUGAAGGCCCUAGGGUUGUAAAGCUCUUUCACCGGUGAAGAUAAUGACGGUAACCGGAGAAGAAGCCCCGGCUAACUUCGUGCCAGCCGCCGCAGUAACAC